CAAUGAUCAGAGCCAAGCUGGGCUCCAGCACAACCUGGGGUCUGUGAAGUCCUGGAAAACCUGGAGAGCCCUGUGCGGUUGAGGGAAAGUGAAAACAGGGCAGGAGCUGUUGCAAAGAUGUUAGUCUCCCUCGCAUAUAAAAGCCCCACCCAAGUUUCACUCCUCACUCCCCUUUUCAUAUUAGAAAACAAACAAAACGGAAAAAAAAUCAACAUUUGCUACUGUGUGUUGCCCUCGCUGCCAUGUGAUCCAGGCAUGUGAUUCAGUUGUUGAUACUUGUUUUUUUUAUAGGAUCAAACUCGUAGCUGCCGUAAAAGCCUGUGUAACUUGUCAGAGCAAUUCUCUACUCUGGCAAGUUACACAAGCUGUGGAGCUGCUCUCUGCCCCGGGGUGUCCUACCUCCCCCUGCUUUCUCCCUGCAUGGGAGACUCCUCCUCUCCGUCCAUCUUCAAAGGCAUCAGCUCGACUCAUUUUUAGGGAAAUAGGCAGGAUUCUUCUUAGCUGCACUAUGGGACAUGUGGCCAGUGUGCUCUGGAGUGGGCCAGCCUGCCUCUCACUUCUCAACGGGUCUCAUGAACAACGGAGGGAGCCUCUGCUUUGGUGGCUGCCUUUGCUGCAAGAGAUGGGCCACGGCUUUGGGGUACCUUUAUGAUUCUCCGCUACUAGAGCUGACCUGGGACCAGUCCAGCACCUGAUCUCGGAUGAUUUAUGGCCCUGGAGUGCAGCCACAGCCUCAUGGUUACAAAGGCAUAUGGACGUGGCUGGGUGCUGCCCUGUCCCUCCAGAGCACAUGGGCGAGGAAGUGCAGGAGGUGUGAAAUGCUGGUGCUUGCCGUUGUGGUAACUGUUCAUCACCACCUCUGUGGGUUAUUGAAGAUGAAAGACAUAGUGUGAACACUACUGAGCUCCCCUACUUGCCCAAAAUCCACACGUGCCUCCAGGUGAUGCAAACCCUUCCUGGGACUUGACUGUAAUUACAAAUGAACUUUUUGUUCACGGUAGUAGGUGCCAACUCUUCUUAUGGGGUUUAGCUAUUCCAUACAGUUGUUCCUUGUAGCUGGGGAUGGCCCCUCCUCUCUUUCUCCAGGGCUCACUGUCGUUAGCUCCUGGUUGGAGUCUACCACCUGCUGACGCUACUAGUCUACGGAGAUACUAACUUGUUUUUUAAGUAGAGAUCGGGCAUAACAGUCGUUCAAUGAUUCAGUGAUCUCUGUCUCCCCUAGACAGAAAAUGUAUCUCUGCCCAACCAAAGCCACUCUGCAGACAGCAAAUGUUCACCUUUGCUAUAUGACAAGGGUAUAGACUGUUGCUAUGCUCUCCCUGUGCUGUGUGACUUUAGCUAGGAUGUUUAGCUAUGUAUUUCUCAAUAGAAAUAAAC
rnacentral:lncRNA from 1 species